AUCUCAUUCAAAAAUUUUCCAAACACCAAAUGAAAACUUCUCUCUCAAAAUUGAUUCAUCCUUUUAGAAUUUCUAAUCUUCCGAACACGAAUUCCUCCUUCAAUCUUAAAGAAAUUCAUCUUUUCUCCUUCAAUAUCACCAUUGCUCUUCAACAUGUUUUUGGUCGAAUUUGAUCCUAAACUUAUCAAUUACUUCAAAUUAAGAGAAAUUGCUUGUGUGGAGUGGUGAAGUGAGCAAGCUUGUGAUCCGAAGGCAAAGCUACUUGAUUGUGUAUGUGAGAUAGUUUAUUGAAAAAUAAAUGAUGGCAAUGUCGGAUUAGACUUUAAUUUUUGUUUUGGUUUGUAAAUGGACAUUUCAUGGACUAUUUAAGGACUUUUAUUGCUUGGAUUUUUGCA